AGCUCCAAUAGCGUAUAUUAAAGUUGUUGCAGUUAAAAAGCUCGUAGUUGAACUUCAGAUCUGGUUGGGCGGUCUGCCUCGCGGUAUGUACUGUCUGACUGGAUCUUACCUCUUGGUGAGCCGGCAUGCCCUUCACUGGGUGUGUCGAGGAACCAGGACUUUUACCUUGAGAAAAUCAGAGUGUUCAAAGCAGGCCUAUGCCUGAAUGCAUUAGCAGGGAAUAAUAAAAUAGGACGUGUGGUUCUAUUUUGUUGGUUUCUAGAGCUACCGUAAUGAUUAAUAGGGACAGUUGGGGGCAUUAGUAUUCAGCUGCUAGAGGUGAAAUUCUUGGAUUUGCUGAAGACUAACUACUGCGAAAGCAUUUGCCAAGGAUGUUUUCAUUA
rnacentral:rRNA from 1 species